rnacentral:rRNA from 1 species
GACGAACGCUGGCGGCGUGCUCAACACAUGCAAGUCGAACGGAAAGGCCCUGCUUUUGUGGGGUGCUCGAGUGGCGAACGGGUGAGUAACACGUGAGUAACCUGCCCUUGACUUUGGGAUAACUUUAGGAAACUGGGGCUAAUACCGGAUAGGAGCUCCUGCUGCAUGGUGGGGGUUGGAAAGUUUCGGCGGUUGGGGAUGGACUCGCGGCUUAUCAGCUUGUUGGUGGGGUAGUGGCUUACCAAGGCUUUGACGGGUAGCCGGCCUGAGAGGGUGACCGGCCACAUUGGGACUGAGAUACGGCCCAGACUCCUACGGGAGGCAGCAGUGGGGAAUAUUGCACAAUGGGCGGAAGCCUGAUGCAGCAACGCCGCGUGCGGGAUGACGGCCUUCGGGUUGUAAACCGCUUUCGCCUGUGACGAAGCGUGAGUGACGGUAAUGGGUAAAGAAGCACCGGCUAACUACGUG